UACGAAGGAUGCAAGCGUUAUCCGGAUUCAUUGGGUUUAAAGGGCGCGUAGGUGGCCUGGUAAGUAGGGGGUGAAAUCUCGCGGCUCAACUGCGAGGCUGCCUCCUAAACUGUCAGGCUCGAGCAGAGUAGAGGCAGGUGGAAUUCCCGGUGUAGUGGUGGAAUGCGUAGAUAGUCGGAGGAACACCAGUGGCGAAGGCGGCUCUCUGGACCUCUGCUGACGCUGAGGCGCGAAAGCGUGGGGAGCGAUCCGG
rnacentral:rRNA from 1 species